UAAGACGUAGGAUGCGAGCGUUGUUCGGAUUUAUUGGGCGUAAAGCGUACGUAGGCGGCUGCCUAAGUCUGGUGUUAAAGCUAGAGGCUCAACCUCUGUGAUGCACUGGAAACUGGGCGGCUUGAGAGCGGUAGGGGAAGGUGGAAUUCCGAGUGUAGCGGUGAAAUGCGUAGAUAUUCGGAAGAACACCGGUGGCGAAAGCGACCUUCUGGGCCGUUUCUGACGCUGAGGUACGAAAGCGUGGGGAGCAAACAGGAUUAGAUACCCUGGUAGUCCACGCUGUAAACGAUGGUCACUAGGUGUCGGGGGUAUCGACCCCCUCGGUGCCGUAGCUAACGCGUUAAGUGACCCGCCUGGGGAGUACGCACGCAAGUGUGAAACUCAAAUGAAUUGACGG
rnacentral:rRNA from 1 species